ACACAGCAUUGUCCCCUGCAUUCUCCCCAUGCUCCCUGGGGCCUUGCAAGCUCCAGAUUCUCCAUCUGUGAAUGGGGACAAUAAGGCCAGCUCUGGGGGCUGAGGGCUGGACCUGGGGGCAGGCUCAGGGCAGGCUCAGCCCCACAUGGCCUGCUCUGUCCUUGCUGUUCACCAUCUGCCUGUGGCUCACUCAGAAACUCCCACUGACAGAUUUGAACCUGCCAGAGCAACGUGCUGGGGGCACUUCUCCUUUCUGCUGCCAUGUGAAGAAGGACAUGUUUGCCCCCGCUUCCGCCAUGAUUGUGUUUCCCGAGGCCUCUUCAGCCAUGCUGAACUGAUUAUGCUGGAGUGAUGGGUUUGGGGGAAGAAGACCACCAAGGUGACAUGCCCUGCUCACCCCAUCAUUUCUGGGGGUACCUAGUAUUCACACGACUCAUCACUGGGAAUGCUGAUCUUCGUUGACUGGUGAAGGUGAUGUCUGCCAGGUUUCUCCACGGUACUGUUACUGUUUUUCCUAUUUCUACAUCCUUGACUCUCUGGGUCAAGUGAAUCUUCUGUGCCCAGCACUUUGCACUGAUGUUUCACUUAGCUCAACCCCUGUUACUGUCCCUCUGAUGGAGGUCCUGAUAAUCUCUAAACUUAGCAAAUUCGCGGUUACAAAGGCUCAGGGAUCUCUUAGUCAAAACCUUCUUUACCGUUUUUACAGACAAGGAGACUUAGAUCUGGAGAGAGGUGUGAUGCACUUAAUGAUCACACCACAAGCUGAAGGAAAAUGGCCAGCGGGUGCGGUGGCUCACACCUGUCAUCCCAGCACUUUGGGAGGCUGAGGUGGGUGGAUCACUUGAGGUUAGGAGUUCGAGACCAGCCUGGCCAACAUGGCGAAACCCUUUCUCUACUAAAAAUACAAAAAUUAGCUGGGCUUGGUGGCGCAUGACUAUAAUCCCAGCUACUCGGGAGGUUGAGGCAGGAGAAUCACUCGAACCCAGAAGGCGGAGGUUGCAGUGAGCCAAGAUAUCGCAACUGCACUCCAGCCUGGGUGACAGAGUGAGACUCUGUCUCAAAAAAAGAAAAUGGCCUUGGGGCACUGAACCACAGCAGAGAUCUGGAGGAUGUCCUGGCCCAGAGUAAAUGCUCCAUGGGCAUUUAUUGGUUGACAAGGUCAGCAUAUGUUGUAUGAAUGCUAAGAGUUUCCACAUGCAAUGAGGUAUCUCUCUGUGGACGACAUAGCCAUGGGGUCGCCUGCUGCCUCCCAGUUACCCAUACAAACCAUGGAAGCAGGAAUGGGUGACAGCCCCACGCUCCCCUGCUGUGAGCCUCCACUGCUCCGUCUGGCUACGCAGCAGCACCAGCUCCUCCUUCUGUCCAGCUGGAUAGAGAGCCUGCAGGAAGCUGGAGUCUGGGUUUCAGUGGCUACAGACAACCCUCCAAGUGGUAUGUGAGUGGGCACUUUCACCCUCUGCAGGUGACCAUGCACAGUGGUACAGCAACUUAUUUUAUUAUUAUUCUUUUGA